AUUGAACGCUGGCGGCAUGCCUUACACAUGCAAGUCGAACGGCAACACGGGUCAUUGCACCUACUGGCGAGUAGCGGGCGAGUAAUUAAUCCAAACGUACCCAUCCUGUGGUGGUGGAUAGCCCAACGAAAGCCUAAUUACUCACACAUACUAUCCACGAAUGCGAGGGGGCGACCUUCGUCCCUCGCGCUAUGCGGCUGGCGUCUGGCUAAUUAGGUAGUUGGUGGGGUAAAGGCCUACCAAGGCGACGAUCAGUAGCUGGUCUGAGAGGACGACCAGCCACACUGGGACUGAGACACGGCCCAGACUCCUACGGGAGGCAGCAGUGGGGAAUUUUGGACAAUGGGCGAAAGCCUGAUCCAGCAAUGCCGCGUGUGGGAAGAAGGCCUUCGGGUUGUAAAGUACUUUUGUACGGAAAGAAAUCCUUGAGUUUAAUACAGUCGGGGAAUGACGGUACCGUAAGAAUAAGCACCGGCUAACUACGUG
rnacentral:rRNA from 1 species